rnacentral:rRNA from 1 species
AAGGGGCAGUAAGGCGUGGGUAACUUACCCCGGGGAUCGGGAUAGCCUUCCUAACGGAAGGGUAAUACCGGGCGAUGUAGCCGUACCGCAUGGCGUGGCUACGAAACGAAUUUCGCCUCGGGCGGGGCUCACGUAGUAUUAGCUAGUUGGUGGGGUGACGGCCCACCAAGGCCGAGAUGCUUAGCGGGUGUGAGAGCACGACCCGCGCCACUGGCACUGCGACACUGGCCAGACUCCUACGGGAGGCUGCAGUCGAGGAUCUUCGGCAAUGGGCGUAAGCCUGACCGAGCGACGCCGCGUGUGCGAUGAAGGCCUUCGGGUUGUAAAGCACUGUCGAGGGGGAGGAAGCCGCAAGGUUGACCGACCCCUGGAGGAAGCACGGGCUAAGUUCGUGCCAGCAGCCGCGGUAAGACGAACCGUGCGAACGUUAUUCGGAUUCACUGGGCUUAAAGGGCGCGUAGGCGGUCGACCCAGUCCGGGGUGAAAUCUUUCGGCUCAACCGGAAAAGGGCCUCGGAUACUGGUC